GACGAACGCUGGCGGCGUGCUUAACACAUGCAAGUCGAACGGAAAGGCCCUGCUUUUGUGGGGUGCUCGAGUGGCGAACGGGUGAGUAACACGUGAGUAACCUGCCCUUGACUUUGGGAUAACUUCAGGAAACUGGGGCUAAUACCGGAUAGGAGCUCCUGCUGCAUGGUGGGGGUUGGAAAGUUUCGGCGGUUGGGGAUGGACUCGCGGCUUAUCAGCUUGUUGGUGGGGUAGUGGCUUACCAAGGCUUUGACGGGUAGCCGGCCUGAGAGGGUGACCGGCCACAUUGGGACUGAGAUACGGCCCAGACUCCUACGGGAGGCAGCAGUGGGGAAUAUUGCACAAUGGGCGGAAGCCUGAUGCAGCAACGCCGCGUGCGGGAUGACGGCCUUCGGGUUGUAAUCCGCUUUCGCCUGUGACGAAGCGUGAGUGACGGUAAUGGGUGAAGAAGCCCCGGCUAACUACGUG
rnacentral:rRNA from 1 species